GGCAUUCCAUAUGCAGAAUUAACAGCACCUUUAAAUAUAUAAUACCAAAACUGAAACCCUGAAGGCUUUACUAACUGCCUAAAUCAGCAAUUCUAGGUUCAAACACGUAUGAGAAGAGGCAAGAAACGGGAUGGCGGAGAGGUCGUGUCUAUGCCAUCACCACCAAAUCUUUCCAUCAGCCAUGUGGUUCUCAAGAUGGCAAAGAGCUGGUCAGACUGAAGUUUUUCCUUAGUUGAGCUGCUGUUUUGGCGGCAGAGAAUCAACGGGAAGCGAGAAAUCUUCCUCCUCAAAGCAGCGAAAACGGGCCGGGCGCCCACCCCUGCGGACCGCCGCCCCGCGCAGCCCCGCGCCCGGCUGCCCUCGCCCUCGGCGGCCGGAGCCGCGGACCCGCGGGCGGAGAGGGCGUCCCCCCGGCCGGCGCAGCCCACCCCGGGGGCCGCGCGCCUCGCUCCCAGGGCCUCCUGUGGCUGCGAGGCGGGAGCAGGCUUCGCCGCCUCCCUCCCGCUCGCCCGGCUUCCAGGUUCAAUAAGGAUUACAUCAUGGAGCAAGUAUGCGGGGCAGCCUGAGAAUCAAAGCCGUCACAAUCAGCGGCUGGUUAACUGUAAUGUUGCUGAAACACACCCUCCCCGCUCCGGCCCCCUCCCCUCCCCACCCCGGCCCUCUGCUUGUCGUACUAUUAAGGAUAGCAUUAUUGGGGAAGAGGAAAAUCUGAUCAAAACUGUCGACCGCCAACGGCAGACUUUCUAUGGAUUCUGUAAAGGCCACCUUAACGAUUUCCCUAAUUAAUGGAUGACAUCUUUGGCUGAAGGAGAGGCGAUGGAUUCGACUCUGUCUUCGUCUUUGUUAACCUUCUAAUUAACUUUCGUAGGUCACCCAGGUCUCCCAAACCCAAAAAGUGAAGAGGCCCAUUGUGCGAGGAGCAGUAAACUUACUUUUUCUGCUGGGGUACUUAAAAGGGGAACGAUUAUAGGCCGAGAAAAAUAACUCCAUUUAAAAGCUUUGUGGCCGCGGAGAAUGCAUAGGUCCCUCCCUUAGAAAAUAAUUGAAACACCUUUUAUACCAAUAUUUCUAUGCAUAAUAAAAACAAAUUAG
rnacentral:lncRNA from 1 species